rnacentral:rRNA from 1 species
AACAGACCUAAACAAAAGUAGCAACCUCACCAGAAAACCCUACUUUUCCUCCUGUUAACCUAACACNAGAGCAUUUCAAGAAAGAUUAAAAGAAAAAGAAGGAACUCGGCAAACCUUAGCCCCGCCUGUUUACCAAAAACAUCGCCUCUUGACUCCAUAAGAGGUACAGCCUGCCCAGUGACUCUGUUCAACGGCCGCGGUAUCCUAACCGUGCGAAGGUAGCGUAAUCACUUGUCUUCUAAAUAAAGACCAGUAUGAAAGGCAUCACGAGGGC